rnacentral:lncRNA from 1 species
GCUCUUUCUUACUUGGACUUUGCCUUGUUUUAUAUGUGUUUGCUAUUAAAUCAAAGAAGAGGAUGAAUUAUAAGAAACCAAUAAGGAAAAAUAUUUACUCUCCUCAAUGUAAAACCUGCUUUUCUCAGCUUCCCAGGUGACCCCAGGGUUGCCAGGGUCCCUUUGGCAUACCUGCCCCCCUCUGAGGGGGUAGAGGGAGUCUCCCACCAUGUGUUGGUCACCUGACCCUUGUGGAUUUCUGGGCAAAUGCUCUGAGGACCUUCCAGGUAGAUCAUAUGUCUCACAAUUUCUUUGCUCUCUUUUUUCUCUAGCUCUGCCUUUACAGUUUUCAACUUUUCCAGGAGCAGGAGAAAAUGAACACAGCCCGGGGAUUUGUGUUGUUCGAGGAUGUAUCUGUGGACUUCACCCAGAAGGAGUGGCGGCUGCUGGUUGAUGCUCAGAGGCUCCUGUACAGAGACGUGAUGCUGGAGAACUACAGGCACCUGGCAUCCCUGGGUAAGCACAGCUUCCUGAGCGGGUGCAUUUCCUGUCUUACAGGGUGUCAUGAGUUUGAGACUUGAGAUGCUAGAUUCAGAGACCUCUUAGGGGAUGGAAAGGAUGUAUUCUAGUCUCUCUCCCUGUGAAAGGGUCUUCCUUGAUGAGGACCCCAUCAUUGUAGGGUUCUCCCCUGUUGUUCUUCCAAAGGCUUGAAUCCCAAGCAACUUUGCCAAGUGCCAUGUCAUUUCCCACAACAAACCUGAGCUGAUAUUCAAGUCGGAGCAGGGAGAGGAACCACGGAUAUUAACGGGAGGACUCCCAAGUCACAGCCACCCAGGUGAGUUAAUGAGGUCAGAUGGAAGCGGAAACUGGAUCCAAAGUGGCCCAGUUAAGAGGUUGGUGUCUUUGAAACAGGUUUUAGUAAUCUCUCUUAGAGCCUCCAGACUUUUUGAAGUGACUUAAGACUGAUGACUACCAUUCCUUAGACAUCAAACCUCCAAAUACCAUUCUCAUAUAUAAAUGUUCUUUGUUUUCUAUUUGACGUUUUUUCAUUUAGGUGCUUUAUUGAUUCCCUUAUGUUGUUUUCAGUUCAAGCUAUAUUUUUGUAAUGAGAAACCUACACACUGAAAAGAGAGUUAGAAGCAGAGAAGAAAACAACAUCAGAAGAUGCUUUCUAGAAUCUUAAUUAAGCCUUUGAAUGAAUAGGUAACCCUCCAGUUAGAUCAAAUAGGAUAAAAGAAAGUGAUCAGGUGAAGCUAAUUCCAGUGAUGUUAGCCAUUGAGAUUUAUGCAAGAAGCAAACAUUCAUACAGUGAGAGAGGUGAUUUCCAAUGGACACUAUCCCAAGAUGAAAGAGUCACCCUCUAAAUAUUACUCAUUGCAAAUGAUGUUUGGUUGCAAAUGUCUGCUGGUGAACCUUAAAUAUAGAUAUCUACACAUAAUAUUGCAUUAGAUGUAGUGUCAAAUACAAACAAGCAUAUUGCCUCCUUGACUUUUAUAGAGAGUUGAUUGGUUUUUGUAGAAUCCAAUUGCUGCCUUCCUCAUCCUAGAUCUUCAUGUCUUUGUUUUUUUUUUUUCCUCUUUUCAAUAAUGGCCUCCUUUUACCUUCCCUCCUGUGCCAAACACUCUGUAAAUAUGCAUCUAUCAAUGCAUCAUUUUAUUCAAUUAUUUACUAAGCACCUACCAUGCACCAGUCACAUUCUAAGCUCGGGAGAUACAAAACCAAAGUCUCAGCUCCUAUCAGUAGAUCCAAAAAGCCAAUAAAUGGGUAACAUGGCUGGGAGUAAUCA